UUUCUUUCAUAAUUUAGGGUUUUGCUUUUAAUGAGUUGCUUGCUUUUUGUUUACUUUCUCCCUCUUUUUGACAUCAUCAGACAUGGUUAACUUCUUCUUUUUCUGAAGCAUUCUUUAAUUUCUCCCCCUUUAGAGUAUAUCACAGAUGUUUGCUCCCCCUUAAUACAGUAAUUAUUAACAGCAAAUAACAACAAAGAGAAGACAAUAUUUCAACAAGGAGAAUAUAUAUAACCAAAAUAUGAUCAACAUCAUUACAAAAGGUAGAAAUAUAAGUAAAAGAUGAUUCCAUUAAAAUCAUAAUUGUUUCAAUACAUAGUUCAUAUUAUAAAAAUCAACCAGCUAAUUAUCAAUACAUGGCCCCAAGGUACAGAUCCUAGAACAAGACACUAACUCCUAAGGUCUAUUAAUGAUCAAGUCAAGUCAAAGAUCGGAGUCAUCAGAUAUGGUAUGAGAAGCUGAUGGAUCUCUAGCAGAAGUACGUCCUCUACCCCGUCUGCCUCUGGCACGAGCAGGAGAGCGAGAUGAACUGGGAGGCUGAGUAUGCUGAGAUGCUAAGGACUGAACAGAAAGGGUGAGUCUGAUGGAAUCAAGUAUGUUCAAUGCUCUGGAAACAGAUUGAAGUAGAGCAGUGAACUGAGUGGUUGCAUGCUCACUCGAUCC
rnacentral:lncRNA from 1 species